rnacentral:rRNA from 1 species
UACAGGGGGUGCAAACGUUGCUCGGAAUCAUUGGGCGUAAAGCGCACGUAGGCGGUUUGUUAUGUCGGAUGUGAAAGCCCCUGGCUCAACUGAGGAAGUGCAUCCGAAACUGGCAGCUAGAGUACUAAAGAGGGUCGCGGAAUUCCCGGUGUAGAGGUGAAAUUCGUAGAUAUCGGGAGGAACACCGGUGGCGAAGGCGGCGACCUGGGUAGAUACUGACGCUGAGGUGCGAAAGCGUGGGGAGCAAACAGGG